CGCGAAGCCUCUUAUUUUGAAGGGUGCGCGCCGGAACUCAGCAUUUUGACACGAAAAGUGACUUGGCGCGUCACACGUUGAAUUUAGAGAAACGACAGUACUGUCAAUCUAACGGCCAAAAAAAGAAAAACAAGAAGAAGAAGAAAAGAAGAAGGUCUGAGCUUGAGGAACACCAAGAUUUUUGGUGAGUCUCGACAAGGAUGUCUACACCUUAUCUGCAGUUCAUCAGGGGCACAUCACAGAAGCGGGUGAGGUGGUGGAUGAGGCCCAGAUGGUUGGCGAGGGGUUGACACGCAAACUCCGCCGACUGGAUGGAGCGACUGUUUGAUCCAGGGUCAGGUGCAUGCUGGAGCCUAUCCGAGCUAUCUUCGUGUGAGAGUCGGAGUCCACCCUGAACAGUUUGUUUUACUGUGGUCAUGUUAAGAGGGAAGCCAAACAUCAACGGCACGUUGCCUCGAAGCAUAAGCGAGAAGUACGUGCAAGACCUGAUCAAACACCUCCAGCCUAUUGGGGGGCACGCAAGUGAGGACCUGCCGCAAUCGGGGCAGCAGCAACUGCUGUUAAGGAUCGCACGUAAAGCCGUUCCCGGCCUUCGUUUCGGCACAACGCGGCGCCCCUCCUGCGGGCUGGCGGGCUUCGAAAGAAAUGCGCUCAGUCACUCCAGAAACAUUUUGGUGGACAAACCUAAUGAUCAAUCCUCCAGGUGGUCAUCUGAGAGCAACUAUCCUCCACAGUUUUUAGUCUUGAAACUGGAGAGGCCGGCGAUCGUUCAGAGCAUCACCUUCGGGAAAUAUGAGAAAACGCACGUCUGCAACCUGAAGAAGUUCAAGGUGUUCGGAGGCAUGAGCGAAGAAAACAUGACUGAGCUUCUGUCCAGUGGCCUUAAGAACGACUACAACAAGGAAACCUUCACCUUAAAGCACAAGAUCGACGAGCAGAUGUUUCCCUGCAAAUUUGUCAAAAUAGUGCCUCUGAUGUCGUGGGGUCCGAGUUUUAACUUCAGCAUCUGGUACAUUGAGCUUCAUGGUAUCGAGGAUCCGGAUGUAGUACAGCCCUGCCUUAACUGGUACAGCAAGUAUAGAGAACAGGAAGCCAUCCGCCUUUGCCUCAAACACUUCCGUCAGCACAACUACACAGAGGCCUUCGAGUCACUGCAGAAGAAGACGCGCAUAGCACUCGAGCACCCCAUGCUCACCCACCUGCACGACCGGCUGGUGCUGCAAGGCGACUUCGACGCCUGCGAGGACCUCAUCGACAAAGCCGUGAGAGACGGUUUGUUUAACCAGUAUAUCAGCCAGCAGGAGUACAAGCCCAGGUGGAGUCAGAUCAUCCCCAAGUGCAACAAAGGUGACGGUGAUGACAACAGGCCGGGAAUGAGGGGUGGACAUCAAAUGGUCAUUGACGUUCAGACUGAGACGGUGUACUUGUUUGGGGGCUGGGAUGGCACGCAGGACCUUGCUGACUUCUGGGCUUACAGCGUUCAGGAGAACCAGUGGGUCUGCAUCUCCAGGGACACUGAGAAAGAGAGCGGCCCGAGCGCUCGCUCCUGCCAUAAGAUGUGCAUCGACUCCCAGCGGCGUCAGAUCUACACGCUGGGCCGCUAUCUGGACUCCAGCGUCAGGAACAGCAAGUCCCUGAAGAGCGACUUCUACCGCUACGACAUCGAUGUCAACACGUGGACGCUCCUCAGUGAGGACACGGCGGCUGACGGGGGGCCCAAGCUGGUGUUCGACCAUCAGAUGUGCAUGGACUCGGAAAAGCAUAUGAUCUACACGUUUGGCGGCCGGAUACUGACCUGCAACGGCAGCGUGGAAGACAGCCGCACGUCAGAGCCGCAGUUCAGCGGCCUGUACGCUUACCACUGCCAAGCGGCCACGUGGAGCCUCCUGCGGGAAGACUCGUGCAACGCUGGCCCGGAGGACAUCCAGUCACGUAUCGGACACUGCAUGCUCUUUCACACCAGAAACCGCUGUCUUUAUGUGUUCGGGGGCCAGCGAUCCAAGACCUAUCUCAAUGACUUCUUCAGCUAUGAUGUGGAUGGAGACCACGUGGAGAUCAUAUCUGACGGCACCAAGAAGGAUUCGGGCAUGGUGCCAAUGACGGGCUUUACCCAGAGAGCCACCAUUGACCCCGAGCUCAACGAGAUUCACGUGCUGUCGGGCCUCAGCAAGGACAAAGACAAACGUGAGGAGAACGUCCGCAACUCCUUCUGGAUCUACGACAUCGCCCGCAACAACUGGUCCUGUGUGUACAAGAAUGACCAGGCGGUGAAGGAAAACCCGAGCAAGGUCCUGCAGGAGGAGGAGCCGUGUCCACGCUUUGCCCACCAGCUGGUCUACGACGAGAUGCACAAAGUGCAUUACUUAUUUGGCGGCAAUCCGGGGAAAUCUUGCUCUCCCAAAAUGCGUCUGGAUGACUUCUGGUCCCUGAAACUGUGUCGGCCCUCCAAGGAGUACCUGCUGCGCCACUGCAGAUAUCUCAUUAGGAAGUACAGGUUUGAAGAAAAAGCGCAAUCAGAGCCUUUGAGUGCGCUGAAAUACCUGCAGGAUGACCUGUCGCUCACCGUGGACCACACCGACCCCGAGGAAACCAAGAGGUACUUGAUUUCUCUUCUGUGUUUGUAUUUGGCUAUGGAAGUGGCAUUUUCAGUCUGCUCUUUUAAGAGAUGAUAAUUAUUGAUUUUGCACAAAAGUUCCAGCUCCUGCCCUCAGCUCUGUUCAAGUCCAGCAAUGACUUCAUCCCCCUGGGUUUCUCAGACGUGGACCAGACGUAUGCCCAGCGCACGCAACUCUUUGACACACUGGUCAACUUCUUCCCGGACAGUAUGACGCCACCAAAGGGCAACCUGGUAGACCUCAUCACUCUCUAGCCCCACCGUCCAUGCGCCACCUCGUGACACACUGCAAGGUCACCCGCUGGACUAAAAUGCAACGACACAGGAGGAAGAGGGGGGCGAGAGACACCAGGUACUUCCCGUUUCUAAGAUGUAGUCCCUCCCAUUUAAUGUCACAAUCUGCUGCUACCACCCUGAAGCUGAGACACGUCUAUCUGACACUGUAACACGAGAGUGGAAUAGUGAAUGUGUAACGACCAACUGCCAAGCUUUUAUUUUUUUUCCCAUCUCUCUCCACGCUUAUUUGGAUCCACACUCCUUACCAUUAACCAUGUUCAACUUGAGUAGGUUUUGAGUUAAAAUCCACUUUAAACUACAAUAAUCCUCAGUUGAGUACAGACACAUCGUGGUUUCUGUAAUCAGCAGCCUCUGCCUUGACUGUCAUGAGGCAGUAUUCUAUGGUAGCGCAGAAUAUAGUUAUGCUCAUAAAUUUACAUACUCUGUCAGAAUUUGUAUAUCUACAUCAUCCUUUCAAGAAAACAUGAAUGAUGACAGGACAAAUUUUCUCCCAAUAUUUUACUAAUUCUGCAAGGGUAAGAUCACUUGUGAGAAAUUGAGAAAUAUUGAGAAACCCAAUUCUGUGUAAAAUCAGUGGGCCACUGGCAGGACCGCACCAAGUCCAUUCCUCAUCUAUCAGGGAAAGAUGGCAGUGAAGGGACUUUCUAAGGUACCACAUGAAAAUAUAUUCAGUCAAACCAUUCACAAGUCAACAUACAUCCUGAGCCAAACUCAACAUAUAUCCUGCUGUACUUUGAAAAUGACGUCAGAUAGCUGGACUGGGCCAUGUUUUGAUUCUGGGGAAAGGAAACGCUCCCAUGACAAACCCGGUGGGAAAAAAAAAAAGACACCUCUGAGGAAAAACAAAAACAUAGAUAACGCUUUAUGUCAGUUUGAGAUUUAGGAUUAAGAUUCAUUCAUCGGGAUGUUUAAGUUUAAGAAAUAUACCCCAACUAAUUAGUUUCGAAUGAUCUUGAAUCGGAUUAACAUUGGAAACUGUCAUUUAAUUUAAAAACUUAAAAAAUAGAAAAUAUUUCCUCAAACCUGGGCAAGCCUUUGUUUGUGGAAAUGCAAGUUUGGACCUUUAGUAAAUAUAGUUACCCCUGUAGUAAAAAUGCAUUCUAUUUAAAUUCAUCCACAUCUUUCAAAAUGGUCUCAGCAUUGUUUUUUGUUUUUUUUUCCCCCCACAAUGAGCGAAUGGGAAGCAUUUAUAUUUCUCAAUGAUGACUCAAAUAAUUGGAGUGUGGCGUCGCUUAGAAGUCUGGCCACCAUUUAAGGAAAUACAGUAACACGUACACUAACCCCAUUUUUACUCUUCCUUAACAACAUAGUCACGCUCAUAAAAGUUCUGCAUUGUGUUUGUGUGCACGUGUGUGAGCAUUCAGCCACACUGCCUCAGUUUCCCCCCCGUGUUCACGUCGCCACACAAUUAAUGAUUCAGUUCGAGCAUUUGUUCAGCGAAGGUGGUGAAUGGUGGGUUGUACUUAAUUUUGGAACCAGAAAAAAAAAUAUGGAGGCAUUUUCACCACGUUUUUUAAUCAACUAUGCCCAUUUUUCUGUCAUUCAUGCACAGUCUCUUUAGUAUAAUAAACGGUCCAAUCAAAAUUUGGAAGAAAAAAAUAGUACAUACAUUAAAGGUUUGGCUGUCAUAUGCGCCCUAAAUCCCAUUAUUAUGAUAAUUUAUAGUGUUAAGGUAAGUUAAGAUCCAUGUCUUUUGGUUAUGUAUUUAAAAUUAACCCCUUAACUGAAUUGUGCAGUGCAAAUAAAAGCUUUGUAGCAAUAGGGGGAAAAAACUGUUUAUUUUUCAACUUUUUUUUUUUUUUCUUGAUUAAAAACCCUUGAAUAUAAUUGUUUGGUGCUUUUGGGUUGCACUUGAGUUCAGAAGAUGCGCAUUGUGGUUUGGAGUUGAUCGCGUGUGUGCCCCGCAUCAUGGAAGUGAACUAUUCCAUUGUAAAAAGGAAUAUUUGGGCUGCGCUGAAAAGGAGGAAAUCAUGGAGGAUCGAAGUCAGAUAUUUUCAGUCAUAUUGUUAGGAGGGAAAAAAAUGUAAAAACUGUUGUAACCCGCUUUUCAUAAGAAAACAUUUUUCAUAAAACUGACUUUACUGUCAUGAAACUUAAACCUUUUUUUGACUUUUUUUCCCACCACACAAAAAACUCAAUUGAGAAUUGCCGUUAAAAAUGUAAUUCUUAUCCAGGCAAUUUGGAAUUCUGUGACUUAAUGUCAUCGUGUAUUUCAGUGUGGCCCAUAAUCCUUUUUUAGAAAUGGGACUGAAGCCAACAGAACAGCUUUCUGGACGUGGUCAUAAUUCCAAAAAAUGAGAGGCGCUGAUUCCACUGUGUACUUCUUUUACAUUUAUUUACACUGGUCAUAUUUUGUGUUGCAACAGGGUGUGUAUGUUGCUGUGUGUCUGAGAAGAGGGGAAAAAACUUGUCAAAAGAAUUAUUAUAAAAAAAUUCAAAAAGCACCUUUUUUUCCAAAAACAAUGCCAAAUAUUACAGUUUCAUUUUCUCCGCUCAAGCCCCGAGUGUGGUCCUGUCCCAUCCCUGAGCACUUCUCUGUGGAAUGUGUAGAAAGCCUUGUAGUAUUGCAUUGUACCUAAUGUAAAUAAUGAAUAAAGAUUGUAUUUUGUUCAGG